AGGAAGCCCCGGCUAACUACGUGCCAGCAGCCGCGGUAAUACGUAGGGGGCUAGCGUUAUCCGGAUUUACUGGGCGGAAAGGGUGCGUAGGCGGUCUUUCAAGUCAGGAGUGAAAGGCUACGGCUCAACCGUAGUAAGCUCUUGAAACUGGGAGACUUGAGUGCAGGAGAGGAGAGUGGAAUUCCUAGUGUAGCGGUGAAAUGCGUAGAUAUUAGGAGGAACACCAGUUGCGAAGGCGGCUCUCUGGACUGUAACUGACGCUGAGG
rnacentral:rRNA from 1 species